GAAAGAACCAAGGGAAAUCAACAGGCCAAACAUUUCUUGGUGGUCCUGGACCAGUAGGAAUUAUUUUCUCACCACCUAGAGUGCAAACAGAUCAUAAAAUACAGGGUAGCACAUAGAGUACUUAGCUAGGUAUUCCUGGUGGGGAGGCAGGGUCUUCUCUGUGCCUGCUGUGGCCCUCUACAUUUUCUUGGAUGUCCCAAUCAAGGCCCUGGCCACUCCUUUAUCUGGGCCAUUUGUCAUAGUUGGUCACACAGUGAGUUACUUGGAGAGAUAAGGUAACACAUCAGAAUUUCUUUCUGCUUGUAUACAGCUCAGUGCUUUUGCAGCUGCUACACAAACCUACUGUGCGUGUCACAAUUCAUUUGGGCACAUCAUGUGACUGCAAAGGGCAUGAGAGCUAUCCCAGGUCCACCCAGGUAAAUAUGCUGAUGUUCAUGCUUGCUGUGUCAGGAAAUAAUGCAGAUCCUUUACUCCUUAACCAGGGACAGACGAGUGCUGCCAUACCCCACAACUAGAAGCAUCAUGCUGGUGCCGCUGCUGUCAGAUGUUCUGCCUGUAACUGAGAUGUAUGGUGUGCAGCUCUUACUGAUACCUAAGGGCAUUUUCAAAGUAACCAUGCAAAACACAAUCAUCAAAAACAACUGGCAUCCCAAAUGCAGAAGACUGUGUCUGUAUAAGGACCUGUUCUAAGCACCUACAUACCGCCUUUGAGGAGCAGUUUUCUCUGGUCAUGAUACUUCUGCUGUAAUAUUGCAAUAUUCGGCAUUGUCUAGAGAGCUCUUCAUAACAGCAGCCACUUACUUCAUUAUUUUAC
rnacentral:lncRNA from 1 species